AGAAUCAACGCUGGCGGCGUGCCUCAGACAUGCAAGUCGAACGCGAAAGUUCCCUUCGGGGAGCGAGUAGAGUGGCGCACGGGUGAGUAACACGUAGGUAAUCUACCUUUGGGUGGGAAUAACAGCCGGAAACGGCUGCUAAUACCGCAUAAUGCAGCGGCUCGACAUCGAGACAGUUGUUAAAGCGGGGGAUCGCAAGACCUCGCGCCUAAAGAGGAGCCUGCGGCGGAUUAGCUAGUGGUGGGUAAUGGCUCACCAAGGCAUCGAUCCGUA
rnacentral:rRNA from 1 species